AAAUUGAAGAGUUUGAUCAUGGCUCAGAUUGAACGCUGGCGGCAGGCCUAACACAUGCAAGUCGAACGGUAACAGGAAGCAGCUUGCUGUUUCGCUGACGAGUGGCGGACGGGUGAGUAAUGUCUGGGAAACUGCCCGAUGGAGGGGGAUAACUACUGGAAACGGUAGCUAAUACCGCAUAACGUCGCAAGACCAAAGAGGGGGACCUUCUGGCCUCUUGC
rnacentral:rRNA from 1 species